AGAGUUUGAUCAUGGCUCAGAACGAACGCUGGCGGCAUGCCUAACACAUGCAAGUCGAACGAGACCUUCGGGUCUAGUGGCGCACGGGUGCGUAACGCGUGGGAAUCUGCCCUUGGGUUCGGAAUAACAGUUAGAAAUGACUGCUAAUACCGGAUAAUGUCUUCGGACCAAAGAUUUAUCGCCCAGGGAUGAGCCCGCGUAGGAUUAGCUAGUUGGUGAGGUAAAGGCUCACCAAGGCGACGAUCCUUAGCUGGUCUGAGAGGAUGAUCAGCCACACUGGGACUGAGACACGGCCCAGACUCCUACGGGAGGCAGCAGUGGGGAAUAUUGGACAAUGGGCGAAAGCCUGAUCCAGCAAUGCCGCGUGAGUGAUGAAGGCCUUAGGGUUGUAAAGCUCUUUUACCCGGGAUGAUAAUGACAGUACCGGGAGAAUAGGCCCCGGCUAACUCCGUG
rnacentral:rRNA from 1 species